rnacentral:rRNA from 1 species
AUUGAACGCUGGCGGCAGGCCUAACACAUGCAAGUCGAACGGUAACAGGAAGAAGCUUGCUUCUUUGCUGACGAGUGGCGGACGGGUGAGUAAUGUCUGGGAAACUGCCUGAUGGAGGGGGAUAACUACUGGAAACGGUAGCUAAUACCGCAUAACGUCGCAAGACCAAAAAGGGGGACCUUCGGGCCUCUUGCCAUCGGAUGUGCCCAGAUGGGAUUAGCUAGUAGGUGGGGUAACGGCUCACCUAGGCGACGAUCCCUAGCUGGUCUGAGAGGAUGACCGGCCACACUGGAACUGAGACACGGUCCAGACUCCUACGGGAGGCAGCAGUGGGGAAUAUUGCACAAUGGGCGCAAGCCUGAUGCAGCCAUGCCGCGUGUAUGAAGAAGGCCUUCGGGUUGUAAAGUACUUUCAGCGGGGAGGAAGGGAGUAAAGUUAAUACCUAUGCUCAUUGACGUUACCCGCAGAAGAAGCACCGGCUAACUCCGUG